rnacentral:lncRNA from 1 species
AAGCUCUUUAAGAAACAAAUUGGAAUUAAUCAUGUAAGUACAUGUCUUCCACAGGUCAACAAAGGAUUUUUGCAGGGACUGACUAAGAAUAAUUCUAACUUCAUGUAUCUGUUUAAAAUUCCUGUUAGUUUUGCUUUUAACCAAUUUCUGCAUGCUUUCCAUACUGUAGCCAGUUCAAACUUCCUACAGCCAAAUUUGGAUAUCAUGUUGAAUGAUUCCCUUCGGUCUGUUGAAAAAAGUUCUUUGCCCUAACAUUCAAGAUCUUUUACAAUUUGCCUUUGAU